GACGAACGCUGGCGGCGUGCUUAACACAUGCAAGUCGAACGGAAAGGCCCUGCUUUUGUGGGGUGCUCGAGUGGCGAACGGGUGAGUAACACGUGAGUAACCUGCCCUUGACUUUGGGAUAACUUCAGGAAACUGGGGCUAAUACCGGAUAGGAGCUCCUGCUGCAUGGUGGGGGUUGGAAGGUUUCGGCGGUUGGGGAUGGACUCGCGGCUUAUCAGCUUGUUGGUGGGGUAGUGGCUUACCAAGGCUUUGACGGGUAGCCGGCCUGAGAGGGUGACCGGCCACAUUGGGACUGAGAUACGGCCCAGACUUCUACGGGAGGCAGCAGUGGGGAAUAUUGCACAAUGGGCGGAAGCCUGAUGCAGCAACGCCGCGUGCGGGAUGACGGCCUUCGGGUUGUAAACCGCUUUCGCCUGUGACGAAGCGUGAGUGACGGUAAUGGGUAAAGAAGCACCGGCUAACUACGUG
rnacentral:rRNA from 1 species